UCUGUCUCAGGUCUUUCUCAAAGCCUCCACCUGUUCCCAGAAUUUGUAAUUUCCCCCAGACCAGUAAUGGAUUGCUGGACAUCAUAAAUGUCUUGUCCUAGGACUGGGCUUAGUAGAUACCAGCAGCCCAUACCAGCCUCCAGUUGGGCCUCAGUAGUCAGCUGACCUGUUCACAGGAAAGGGAACUUUUGCUGGUGUAUCUGUGGAAAACUAUGUUCUUGAAAGAGGACAUGCUGAACUAAGGUAUGUGAUUUAAAUUUUUGGUAGACUUUAUUAAAUAUACUUCUAAAAAGACUGUACUAAUUAACACUCUCCCCAAUAGGAGAGUAUCUAUUACUAGCCCAGACUUUUGCCAACACUAUUAUAAUUUUUUAAUCAUUUCAAUCUGAAAAACAACGACCGUCUAAAAUUGUUUAUUUAAAUAUUAAUGAG